AUGCAGUGCAACGCCAGUCGCUCAAGUGACCUAGAAAGCUGUCUGUCUCUAUUUCAGAGCUGCGUGUCUCUGUUGCAUUGGUCUGAAGCCGAAAAAGAAAGGAAAUUCACAGGAGCACCACAAUGCCUACUCCACCCAUGCUCUACCAAGGUUUUCCAGCACCACAAUGCCUACUCCACCCAUGCUCUACCAAGGUUUUCCAGCACCACAAUGCCUACUCCACCCAUGCUCUACCAAGGUUUUCCAGCACCACAAUGCCUACUCCACCCAUGCUCUACCAAGGUUUUCCAGCACCACAAUGCCUACUCCACCCAUGCUCUACCAAGGUUUUCCAGCACCACAAUGCCUACUCCACCCAUGCUCUACCAAGGUUUUCCAGCACCACAAUGCCUACUCCACCCAUGCUCUACCAAGGUUUCGGUAAUAAUAACAAUAAUAAUAAGUAAUUGAUAUUUUUUAUAUAUUUAGAUAUUGCAUAUUUGAUAUCUAAUAGUGAUUUGAUUGUAUUGUCAUCAAGGACCUUCUUCUAAAUCAGUUUUCUCACUAAUGGUGGUGCUCAUGUAUGCAUUCAAUUCCGUUGAUAUAGGUAUUACCCUCAUACGUCUUGAAGAAUAGAUUAGAUUUAGUCAUCUAGAAAAGAGUCCUUCUAUUUAGGCCAUGAGCCAUGAGACUUGAGCACCAUGCGCAGCGUUUCACUUAGUGAAUGAGAGCAAUGAUGCAGUGUUAUGGUGUGGAUCUGUAUGUGUCAAAAGGAAACCUUCGGGUGGAAAAUGUAAUGGAUUAAAAUGUUCCUUUUUCUAAAGAUAUUUUCUCAUUAGUUUGGAUGACAUGUUCGGUGAUUGGUACCGUAGCUACUUCUCUAAACUCUCCACUCUGUGCCAGUGUGUCAGGUCAACAGUGUGAACAGUGUAUGAACAGUCUAAUAUGCUCACAUCUAGACAUAUUGCUUUGUUUAUAACUGUAUAAUUACAUAGAAAAUAUAACAUUGUAAUAUUUCAACUAUUUUGAAUUGUUGUCUAGUAGUUUGCUAAAAUGACAUUUCAGGUGGAGUUGGAGGUAUUUGUUGGAUGCACAAACAUAGAAUUCAUGGUUGAAAUAAUCCAUGUGGUAGUCGACACACACGAUACAGUUUUCAUUCAAAAUAGAACAGAAAAGUGUUUUCUGACUGGGAGCAAAAUGAGACAUAUAUUUUGUCAUCUAAAUUAAAUGACCAGCAAAGAUCUUACAAAUGAGACUCCAGUUUAAAUCCUAUGAAAAGCUGAAGCUAUAGCAGCUAUGAAGGUAUACCUGUGUAUGAACCUGUCCUGGUACAAGGUGUUCAGAGGUGUGUAGCGAGGGAGUGCCUGUGAGGCAGUGCUCCUUACCUGUAUCUGGUCAGUAGAACUCCCUGAGACGUCCCUUACAGCAGGCUGUAUUUCCCAGACACCCCUACUGAGCUGUCACCCAGAGCUGGUGUGUGGAGAAAUGAGGCUGUGGAACUGGAUACUGGAGAGAUACUAUCUGGUCCAGUUCGCAGCUCAGGGAGUGUGUGUGUGUGAGAGAGAGAGAGAGACAGAGUGAGAGAGUGAGAGAGUGAGUGAGAUAGAGAUAGAGAGGGGGGGGGGGGUGAAAGAGUGAGAGAUGGAGGGAGGGGAGGGGUAUAGGGAGAGAUGGUAGCAGGCUGCCAGUGAGAUAGUGAGAGUGAUAAUAAGAAAUCAUGAGGAGAUGAAGACUGUUGGGAGGGGGACAGAGAGAGAGAGAGAGAAUGGGAGAGAGAGAGAAUGGGAGAGAGAGAGAGAGAGAGAAUGGGAGAGAGAGAGAGAGAGAGAGAGAGAGAAAGAGAGAGAGAGACAAACAGACAGACAGACAGACAGACAGACAGACAGACAGACAGACAGACAGACAGACAGACAGACAGACAGACAGACAGAGAGAGAGAGAGAGAGAGUAAAGGAGAGCGAGAAGCAGAAGAGGGGAUAGGAAGAUCGCAGUAGGCAUCAGUUUCCUCCUCAGUGUUUCAUUUUCUCACAGAGGUUUCUAUUGAAGGUUCCCAGCUGCUGAGUGAAUCAGUGAAAAGGACAAAGGGAUGCUGAGAGACGGGAAGCUGCCUGGGAGAGCAACUGGAGAAAAGCAUGGCUUACAGGAUUCUGCAGAGGGAGUAUAGGGAAUGUAAUGUAGGGAACGUAAUAUAAUGUCUCUUUCGUGUCCCAGGUGGAAUGAGCAGGUUAAAACCAUGUUGCCCCUCUCAUGGCUCUACCCUCCAGCCCCAGCCCCAGCCCCAGGGAGGGCACUACUGCUUGGGGGAAGUUAGUUAGCUGCUGCCUGGUGCUGCUGCUGGCUGAGACAUGAACCCUGCCCUGGUGUCAGAUUGAAAUGGCGUGGCGCCCAGGCUCAUUAUCAGGCUGAUUAACCACAGUAAUGAACUGAUAUUAGAGAGAUAGCUGGUCACAGUGUCUCCCACUAACAUCCUUCUUCAUUCACAAGGUGGCACUCAAAGAAAUAGGCUACAUAGUGCAUAUGGCUGGGGAGUGUGAAACAGACAGAGGGCUAUAGUUACUAAAUGUAUGAGAUCUCACAGCAAUAUUUGUAUUCCAUUCCAUUAGAAAUGGGUCCUUGUGUCAAAUAUUCUAUUGUUAUGCCCUGAGCAUGGGAAAUCGAGUUUUGCAAAUUAGCUCAUAAUUCUGGAGCUAAUUCUGGAGCUAAACUAAUCAUUUAGUUGGAGGGAAUGUUGUUCCUAUAACUUAGAAAUCAUUCAACCCCCAAGAGACAGAACCAUCUAUAGCUACAUGAAUAAAUACCAUUGAUAGCUAAACUGAAACUCUCGGAAGGAUGAUGUGCUCUAUGCAUUCAAGAAUUUAUUGAAAUAUGAUGGUCUCUUUUCGCUGAGAUUUCCUGAACAGUCUUGAUUUCACGUUCAGCGGGAAAGUAGGGGCCAGGAGAUGCUUUUAAAUAUUGAAAUUCCCCUGUUUUCAUGCCCUGGGUAAGUGCCCCCAUUUCCUAACUUCAUAAUUACAUAUGGUAACUCAGUUAAACAAUACAGUGACAUGUGUGUCACUGCUAACUUAAUAGAGAGGACCGUCAACAGCUGGUGAAGAACAGUACAGGUACAAUGUCUGGCUGCGUCCACACAUUUGAAUGGUUCAAACCAAGUGUUCAGGGAGUCGUGACCUUUGUUUUUCAGUAGCCAACUCGCAGCUUGUUGAUAUGUACUCUAUUGUAUGUUGAUAGUCGUCUUAGGGAUAGCAAGCUGUUUACCAGACAUGACUUGUCAUUCUUGUUAAUCCUUAUAUGGCUGAUUGUCUGAUUAGAUGAUUGUCUGGAUGCUCUCUGUACUCCACCUGUGUAUGAAGUGGAGACUGCUCCCAGUGCUCGGCAAAAGCGUGUGCUAAUUUUAUUCAAGUGCAGGAGCUCAAAUUCAAUCAUUAGAGAUGAAUUCAAAGUGUUUAAGGCAGUGUAUGUUUGUGCUUGCUCAGGCCGUAAGUAAAUGCUUCACUGUCUAAAUGAUUAGGAACUUUGAGAAAACAAGCUUUGAAAGCUUUUUAAUUAGGCUAUUAGGAAUGAAGUCAAGUCAUGUUUUUGAUGGAGCAGCUAGUAUGAGUUUGAUAAAAGCCUGCUGCACUAGUACUCUCAUUUGAUCCGAAUUGUGUUGGGAAUUGCAGAUACUGUAGGUCUCUGGGGGAAAUUGAAAGAUUGUGACACCUGGAUUGUAGUAUAAAUGACACUUGUUGUUUUUAUCAAGAACAUACUGGACCUUUAUGUUUCUUUAAUAUUUAUUUUUGUUUAUUUAAUUACCUUUAUUUAACCAGGUAGGCAAGUUGAGAACAAGUUCUCAUUUACAAUUGUGACCUGGCCAAGAUAAAGCAAAGCAGUUCGACAAAUACAACGACACAGAGUUACACAUGGAGUAAAACAAACAUACAGUCAAUAAUACAGUAUAAACAAGUAUAUAUACAAUGUGAGCAAAUGAGGUGAGAAGGGAGGUACAGGCAAAAAAGGCCAUGGUGGCAAGGUAAAUACAAUAUAGCAAGUAAAACACUGGAAUGGUAGUUUUGCAAUGGAAGAAUGUGCAAAGUAGAAAUAAAAAUAAUGGGGUGCAAAGGAGCAAAAUAAAUAAAUUAAUUAAAUACAGUUGGGAAAGAGGUAGUUGUU
ensembl:lncRNA